rnacentral:lncRNA from 1 species
UGAGGUGCCCCAACUUUUUAUUUUGUCCUUACAAACUUGAUUUUAUCCGAGUACUUUCACUCGCUUGCAUUUUAUUCAAGUGCUAUUCUCCCGGAUAGAUUUCAUAACUGAUGAGUUAUUUUGUGGAUAAGAGACCAAUUCUUUCGGCCAAUAUCCAUAUCCUCCCGAGCAGAGUUACCAGCUCACGGUACCGAGCUCGGCUGUGACCCAUCAACAACUCUGCUUAUUUUAUUAGGAAAAUUUUUUAUACACCAUCUGCGGUGUAGAAAAUUCAACAUAGAGUAUACUAUCUCAUCUAAUUAGACUACAUAGUCAUCAUUUUUUAAUACAUAUUUAAUGCCUACAGUAGAAAAGAAUCACAAGAGCGAGAGUUAAAAUAUCUCUAAAAAAACUUAUCCUGUAUUUUGCAGGAUCCGGUACUACAUGUUGCAGCAGAAAGAAAAAAAAUACAAUACAAAUACGUAGAUCGGCCUCAAGCCUAUCUCUACGGGACGUGCAAGCUUCACUAUUAGAGAAUAAAACACAAUAAUACAAGAAAAACUCAUCAUUAAUCCUUAUACAAGAGUCUCUCAACAAGAAGCUCCAAAAUUCUCACAAAAGUUCUCUAAAACUUCUCUUGAAACCUUUCUAUACCUCUAGAACAUCACCAGCUACCCAACGCAAUAAAUGACUCGUCAAUUGGAGCUAUAUAGGCUCCAGAAUCUCCAAAAUAGUGCUACACUAGGAAUACUGAAUCCAAAUCAACUCUAGAACCAUCUGUGGCCGUCCGAUCGUGACCGGCUCACACCAGAGCCGUCCGAUCAUGUACUACAGCCUCAGAUCAAGCCUGAUCG